UUGAAAGGGAAACGAUUGAAGUCAGUCGUACCAGCGGGAAAUCAACCUUUCGAGUGGGGUUUUGGAGUUUUUUGAAGAGUGUCAAAACCUUUAUUUCAAAAUAUUCGCUCUUUUGGUGUACUUUCUCGUGGGUAGGUUAACAUCGAUUUUGAUCAUCAUAAAAAGAUUGGAGGAAUGUAGCUUCGAUCUUGUAUUGAAGUGUUAUAGCCUUUGGUAAAUGUGAUGAUUAGGAUCGAGGAUUGCAACGAAUACCCUUUUGGGCUAUCCGCCUGAUCUCUGAUACGUGGCCUUGGUAUCGAAAGCGUGCUUAUGGUAUUGGGGUAUUACGGUCAAAAGGUUAGAACGGAUUACAUUCGUUAAGGAUGUUGACGUA
rnacentral:rRNA from 1 species